ensembl:lncRNA
CUGUGCUUCGAGUCACUGUGUUACAUGCCGGGAUUAUUGCAAAAAGUGAAAGAAGAGGAUCUAAUUGUAGCUCAGAUUCCAAAAGGAAGUUCAUUAUAAGGAAGUAAAAAGACAGCGGCUUCCCCACAGCGUGGGGAGAACCCUGGGGGAUGCCAAGGAGAGGGCGGCCGGCCUCAGAGAGGAAUGGCAAGAGUCGUGUAGAUGAGUGGUUCCAAGCCUUGGACAUGGGUCGGUUCACCUAGAGGGCUUGUCAAACGCAGACUGCUUAGCCUUAUUGCCGGAGUUUCUGAUCCAAGAGUCGGAGGUGGGGCCAGAGAAUCUGCAUUUCCAACCAAUGUCCAAGUGGUGCUGAUGCUCUUGGUCUGGGGCCACGCUUGGAGAACCACUGUUCUAUAGAAAUUGAUGGUAAAAAUAGGAAGAUUAAGAACUCUGGAAAAUGCAUAAGGUCAGCACAGUAAUCUGAGCCAAGUUCCAACAUCACAUAGAGAAGCUCAGAGAACUCCCAGAGGAGAUGGUUCAGACCAGAGGGGAGAGAGGCUGUCUCUUGCCCACACCUCUUAAGCCUCAUUAGAAAGUCCCUUAAUGAAAAGGCAUCAGAGAUGGACGCCUGAAUCUGUCACCAUCCUGUGGCUUAUUUUCCCUCUGUGCUUUCAUUGACGGAAUGUCUGUUUUGCUCUUGCAGUGUGAGAAAUACGAAAAGGGCUCCAAUGGAUCUUCUCACCCAGGGCAGCCAGGCCUGGGCUGCCCCCUUCCCUCCGGGUCAGUGAUGGGUUAGCAUUUCAGGGCCAAUAUAAGUUGCCGGGCACCUGGAAGACAACCGCACUGCCAAGAUUCUGUUUAAGAGUCCAGGCCCACUGCGGAAGUUUGGUGGAGAGGGACACAAGAGGGUUCUGUGUGGACUGAAUUGUGUCCCCCAAAAAUCAUCUGUUGAACCCCUAACCCCCAAUGUGACUGUACUUGGACACAAGGCCUUUUUAGGGGUAAUUACGGUUAAAGGAAGUCGUCAGGGCCGAGCCCUAAUCCAAUGGGAUGAGUGUCCUUCUAAGAAGAGGAAGAGACAUUGAGUGCCCACACCAACAAAAGGCCAUGUGAGGUCACAGUGAGAAGGUGACCGUCUGCAAGCCAAGGAGAGACCUCAGGAGCAAUCAUAUCUGCCAGUACUUUCAUCUUGGACUUCAGCCUCCAGACCUGUGAGAAAAUAAAUUUCUGCCGUGGAAGCCCCACCGUCUGUGGUUGUUUGUUGUGGCAGCCUGAGCAAGUAAUACAGGGUGCAACCAAGGUGAGAAGAUAUAAAACUGUACUGAAACCCUGCUUCUCUGGAACACCUUCUAAGGCCUUCCUGGGUUAUAAUCCUCACUCUGGCUCAUAAGAAGCUCACCCCAAUUCUGCAUCAACAUUCCACAUGUGAAAGCCAGCCGCGUGGAAAAGCAGAACACUGGGCCCUCCUCAGAGAAGAGAAUCUCAGCCCAUCAGCUGUGCAAUUCUCCUCAAAAUCCAGGCUGAGGAAAAACCAUCUUAAGAAAGAUCAUUGAAAGCAGCAUUUCCCAAACAGUGUUCCAGAG